rnacentral:rRNA from 1 species
CCCUUAGAUGUUCUGGGCUGCACGCGCGCUACACUGAAGCGUUCAACGAGUAUUCACCUUGCCCGGGAGGGUUGGGUAAUCUUUUGAAAACGCUUCGUGAUGGGGAUAGAUUAUUGCAAUUAUUAAUCUUCAACGAGGAAUUCCUAGUAAGCGCGAGUCAUCAGCUCGUGCUGAUUACGUCCCUGCCCUUUGUACACACCGCCCGUCGCUACUACUGAUUGGGUGUUCAAGUGAGAUGCUUAGACCCUUGUUGCAUGGUUCAUUAUUGUGCUCCGAAAGGAAAAAGUUUCAAGCUUGAGUGUCUAGAGGAAGUAAAAGUCGUAACA